GACGAACGCUGGCGGCGUGCCUAAUACAUGCAAGUAGGACGCAGUUGCGAACGGGUGAGUAACGCGUAGGUAACUGCCUAUUAGAGGGGGAUAACUAUUGGAAACGAUAGCUAAUACCGCAUACUAGUAGAUGGACCUGCGUUGUAUUAGCUAGUAGGUAGGGUAAUGGCCUACCUAGGCAACGAUACAUAACCGACCUGAGCGGGGGAUCGGGCACAAUCGGACUGAUACACGGCCCAGACCCCUACGGGAGGCAGCAGUAGGGAGUCUUCGGCAAUGGGGGGAACCCUGACCGAGCAACGCCGCGUGAGUGAAGAAGGUGUUCGGAUCGUAAAGCUCUGUUGUUAAGGAAGCGGUACUUAACCAGAAAGGGACGGCUAACUACGUGCCAGCCGCCGCGGUAAUAC
rnacentral:rRNA from 1 species